GACGAACGCUGGCGGCGCGCUUAACACAUGCAAGUCGAGCGAGAACCAGGACUUCGGUCCUGGGGACAGCGGCGAACGGGUGAGUAACACGUGGAUAACCUGCCCUCGGCACCGGGAUAGCCCGAGGAAACUCGGAUUAAUACCGGAUAGCCCUUCCGACUCUCGAGUCGGUCCGAAAAGGUAGCUUCGGCCUCUGGCCGAGGAUGGGUCCGCGGCGGAUUAGCUUGUUGGUGGGGUAACGGCCUACCAAUGCAUCGAUCCGUAGCUGGUCUGAGAGGACGAUCAGCCACACUGGGACUGAGACACGGCCCAGACUCCUACGGGAGGCAGCAGUGGGGAAUCUUGCGCAAUGGGCGAAAGCCUGACGCAGCGACGCCGCGUGAGGGAUGACGGCCUGGUGUAAC
rnacentral:rRNA from 1 species